AGUGAACGCUGGCGGUAGGCCUAACACAUGCAAGUCGAACGGCAGCACAGUAAGAGCUUGCUCUUACGGGUGGCGAGUGGCGGACGGGUGAGGAAUACAUCGGAAUCUACUUUUUCGUGGGGGAUAACGUAGGGAAACUUACGCUAAUACCGCAUACGACCUACGGGUGAAAGCAGGGGAUCUUCGGACCUUUCGCGAUUGAAUGAGCCGAUGUCGGAUUAGCUAGUUGGCGGGGUAAAGGCCCACCAAGGCGACGAUCCGUAGCUGGUCUGAGAGGAUGAUCAGCCACACUGGAACGGAGACACGGUCCAGACUCCUACGGGAGGCAGCAGUGGGGAAUAUUGGACAAUGGGCGCAAGCAUGAUCCAGCCAUACCGCGUGGGUGAAGAAGGACUUCGGGUUGUAAAGCCCUUUUGUUGGGAAAGAAAAGCAGCAGGUUAAUACCCCGCUGUUCUGACGGUACCCAAAGAAUAAGCACCGGCUAACUUCGUG
rnacentral:rRNA from 1 species